rnacentral:miRNA from 1 species
UAGGGUGACCAAGCCCAGCUGGUUUGCCUGGAACUGAGGAGUUUCUCAGGCUAAAGGCAGGAAAGUUUGGGGCAAACCAGAAUGCGCUG